GAUGAACGCUGGCGGCGUGCCUAAUACAUGCAAGUCGAGCGAACAGACGAGGAGCUUGCUCCUCUGACGUUUGCGGCGGACGGGUGAGUAACAUGUGGAUAACCUCCCUAUCAGACUGGGAUCACUUCGGGAAACCGGAUCUAAUCCCGGAUAAUAUAUUGAACCACAUUGUUCAUUAGUGAAAGUCGGUUUUGGUGUCACUUAUAGAUGCAUCCGCGCCGCAUUAGCUAGUUGUUAAGGUAACGGCUUAGCAAGGCAACGAUGCGUAGCCGACCUGAGAGGCUGAUAGGCGACCCUGGAAGUGAGACACGGUCCAGAGUACUACGGUAGGACGCAGAAGGGAAUCUUCCGCAAUGGGGGCAAGCAUGGCGGAACAGGCCCAAGCGAGAGACGAAGGUCCUGCGUGCGUAAAACUCUCUUAUUAGGGCAGAACCAAUGUGUAAGUAACUAUACCCGGCUUGACGGUACCUAAUCAGAAAGCCCCGGCUAACUACGUG
rnacentral:rRNA from 1 species